UCCUACGGGAGGCAGCAGUAGGGAAUCUUCCGCAAUGGACGAAAGUCUGACGGAGCAACGCCGCGUGAGUGAUGAAGGCUUUCGGGUCGUAAAACUCUGUUGUUAGGGAAGGACAAGUGCUAGUUGAAUAAGCUGGCACCUUGACGGUACCUAACCAGAAAGCCACGGCUAACUACGUGCCAGCAGCCGCGGU
rnacentral:rRNA from 1 species